UGGGGAAUAUUGGACAAUGGGGGAAACCCUGAUCCAGCGAUGCCGCGUGUGUGAAGAAGGCCUUCGGGUUGUAAAGCACUUUAGGUGGGGAAGAAAGGUAACUCGUGAAUAACGGAUUACUAUGACGGUACCCACAGAAUAAGCACCGGCUAACUCUGUGCCAGCAGCCGCGGUAAUACAGAGGGUGCAAGCGUUAAUCAGAAUGACUGGGCGUAAAGGGCGUGUAGGUGGUUGACUAGGUUUGAUGUGAAAUCCCCGGGCUUAACCUGGGAAUUGCGUCGAAAACGGGUUGACUGGAGUGAGACAGAGGGUUGUGGAAUUUCCGGUGUAGCGGUGAAAUGCGUAGAUAU
rnacentral:rRNA from 1 species